rnacentral:rRNA from 1 species
UGAGGAAUAUUGGUCAAUGGGCGAGCGCCUGAACCAGCCAAGUAGCGUGCAGGAUGACGGCCCUAUGGGUUGUAAACUGCUUUUAUGUGGGGAUAAAGUGCGUGACGUGUCAUGCAUUGCAGGUACCACAUGAAUAAGGACCGGCUAAUUCCGUGCCAGCAGCCGCGGUAAUACGGAAGGUCCGGGCGUUAUCCGGAUUUAUUGGGUUUAAAGGGAGCGUAGGCUGUCUAUUAAGCGUGUUGUGAAAUAUACCGGCUCAACCGGUGGCUUGCAGCGCGAACUGGUCGACUUGAGUAUGCAGGAAGUAGGCGGAAUUCAUGGUGUAGCGGUGAAAUGCUUAGAUAUCAUGACGAACUCCGAUUGCGAAGGCAGCUUACGGGAGCGCAACUGACGCUGAAGCUCGAAGGUGCGGGUAUCGAACAGG